CUCACAUGUGUGCUGGUCUAGAAGAAACCAGUCACGUCGCUGGCGCUUUUCGAGUCUAGACUCUAGGCUCGUCGACUCACAGAGCUUAUCUCCUCAGCUUUUCUUGGGUAAUCCACAUCCCCGACUCCACCUAGUACCCAGGUAGCACGACCUCCCCGCAUCUCCCCGCAUCGCUCGCAGCCCUGGGACAUGCUGCCACUGCCGCCUGCGCCCGCUGCCGGCACUCCACCGGAUCUCCAUCACCACCGGUCAUGCCGUGGGCUCCACACCAGCUCCCUCGACACUCUGCCGGAUCUCGUGCACCACCACUGGAGCAUCCAUGGUGCAGGCAGUUGGGCAGCCAUGCUCAUGCCACCGGCCGUCUCGCCGAGCCGUCUCUUCCGGGAGGUCAUGCAUCGGAAGAAAGGCCGUCUCCCCCAAGAAGAAGUACCCACUGACUCCCCUCGUCGCCGCUAUCCGCCGCCGACCGGACCUAGAUGGAUGCCUCCUCGAGGCAAAGCUUCCGCGGGGCUGCGGCAAUCUGGCCUUCUCGGUGUCAACACAGUCUGCAUCCAUCCAGUACUCUAUCCACCAAGGUAUUCAUUCUCUUUGUUCCUCUUUGUUUAAAACAAAUUUGAAGAUUUUGCACUGAUGGUUUGUAAAUUGAAAAACAUUGUUCUCCAGUGCACAUUGGUGAUUGUGAUUACGACCUCCACUUCCCUCCAUCGCGCCUGACGCAUGCCAUGGCGCUCGCGCCCUCAAGCUCCAGCACCAGCCCCGCCUUCCCGCUUCGCACCGCAGCCCACGUACCUCUGCUUCGGCCGCGUCGGCAACCCCUCCGGCCCUCGCCAAACCAGCGACCACCAAGAACCCUGCCACCUCCUCGCCUCCGCUUGGUGCUUGCCACCACCAUACUUCCUCCUGAUGCCUUCGGCAAGCGGCAAAAGCCUUCCUUGGCUUCUGCGGCGUGUAUGCCGGCGCCAAGCGGUGGCGCGUGCCCAUCGGUGGAGGCUGUGAGUGGAUAAGAGCUAGUAUAAAAUAAGGAUUAAGGACUGCGGGCUGAAUUCCAACUAAUGCAGGGUUUUGUUUGUAAAAAUGAAACGUUUUUCCAUAGUGUCACUUACAUAGGGAUUGCGGGUUGAUUUCAAAGAAACAAAGGGGCUUUUUCGAAAAACAUCAACGACGGACGACCAGAAACCCAAUUUUCUUUAUUAUUAGGUAAAUAUGUGAGUCCAUGGAAUAUACGCACUCUUAACUUUCCGCAAUUUGCUAGCCUCUACGGUACCAUGCAUUGCCCUUUCUCACAUCAAGACGUGGUGCAAACUUCGCAGGUGCAUCCAAACCCCGUGAUAUGAUACGCUCUAUCACACAUAAGCCUUAUUAUAUCUUCCUCAAAACAACCACCAUA